CGUAGAACAUCGGCUUAGAGAGAAAAUCAAUGAAUUAGAGGGCCGUGACAAUGUCAUAGCGCGAAUCCCAGAAUACCGAAGUUCGUCAAAUCCCGGAGAAAUUACUGUAUUUCUUUUCUAUAAUAACGUUACACAAACUUAUAAUCGAAACACACGAAUAGUUAAAAGUUUCGAAAUUGAUUUUAUCAAAACAACACAUUUUAUUCAACAUAUUUUAUAUUUUCAAUUCUUUGCGAAGAAUCGCAACCUUUCAGACUGUAUUACCCUUGGAACAUUUACAAGGAUUGUGUAAUGACUACUCGAUAAAAAAGCUAUUGAAUAAAAAAUGCAGCAAUAACUUUUUUGUAACUAAUUUAUAGAUUUCGAGUUACCGUAUCACAAGUUUCUUUUUUUUUUCUUUAGAACUCUGAGUGCACGAUGUUCGAUGUUUCAUUCAGAAAAGUAUUGAAACUAUAGAAAAACAAACAGAGAAUAAAACUUGAAACAGUUGCUGUUAAGAAAGCUAACCGCAAAUCUGACAAUGGAUAAUCUCUUAGAUAACAGAGGGACAAAAAGUAAUAGUAAACGUGAAUUGUACUUAUUCAAUUCUUCGAUUACUUCUCUGGAAAACAUAUUAUUUUCAAGACGAAAUGUUCGUACGUUAGUUAUAAUUUGUCAACGCGAUAUUGGAUCAUUCUCUGCUAUUUCAGAAUUGGCUCACAUACAGGAAUUAUGGAUUGUCGAUUGUGGACUCAAAGUAUUAUCAAAAACUUCAUCGCAAUCUAUCAGUCUCCACGAUAUAACAUUUUAUUUGAUUUAGGAUGUACCACCUUUCAGAAGAAAUUGUCCUUUGAAAAAGCUGUAUUUGUAUUCGAAUGAAGUAUCUUGUAUAUCGAAUCUAGAUGCUUGUACAUAUUUGACAACUUUAUACUUGUCGGGAAACAAUAUAGACAAUCUUCAGGGUCUAACUAACUUAUCUAGGUUGGAAGACCUGAACUUAGCUAACAACAAAUUAAAAAGAAUUAGUAAAUGUUUCUUAAAGAAGUUGCAGCUGCAUUGCUUGAAUUUCGCAGGAAAUCGAUUAUGCGUUAUAAAGGUAUUUAGUAGUAAUUAAAUUUACAUUCCAUUUAUGUUCAUUCCAGUUACAUUUACAUUUUCAUUCCAAUUAUAAAAUAAUGUCUUUUCCUUUAAUUACUAUAGGAUAUAAGAAAUUUGUCCCAUCUGCAGAAAUUAAAAUCCUUAGUAUUUGCUGAUCCGUUAUACGGAGAGUGUCCGAUAGUAGCUCUUUGCAAUUAUCGAGCAUACGUUGUAAAUUACCUUCCAAAUAUUAAGAAAUUAGACCAUUACACUAUACAUGAAAAAGAACGACAGUGGAUUGUACAAUUUUUCAAGUCUCUCUAUUCGAUUAUUAUUGUCACGUGUCUAUAAUAAUAUUUGUUUUCUUUUUAUCAAAAUAAUAGUUUUUACUUUUAGAAAACAAAUUACACACCAUAAUGUGUUGUUUCAUAAGCAGUUAAGCGAAUACUUGAAACUACUGGAGGACAAUCACAAAGAAUAUAAGAAAGCGAUGCUUCAUUUUAAGAAUCGAUUGUACGCGAUUAAAGUAAUAGAGGUAUACCAUAAAAUUAUAAAUAUUAAGAGUAUAUUCGACAAUUUCUGUAUACGAUAAGCAUUGUUUUCGUUAAUUAUGGUACAUCUUUCACAUAGCAUGAACAGAAUUGCGUAAAGGAGAAAACCCAUGAUGAAUCGCUCAAUGUAACAUUACAAAUGGAGUUAAGUAAACAAAGAUUUAUAGGAAAGAAAAAAAUGACAAUAAUACAAUCCAAAGUAAAAGAACUGCUUAAUAAUUUAUAUGUACAAAAGCUGUUAUCACAAUAGUUUAUGUAAAAUAUUGCAUAUUUAUCGUAAUUAUUGUUUACUUGUCAGAUUUUACAACAGCAAUUAGUAUAUAAUAUAAACUACUGUGGAAAUAUAAAUUUCAUUGAACAUCGUGCAACUCCUAAAAAUACAGUUACUCAAUUAUGUAAACAAUUUUUAAAGGAAUCGCUAUGUACAGUCAUGAAAAAGUAUGUAAAUAUGCUAUGUUAAGAAGAAAUUAUUUAACACACUCAUGAACAAAAUCAAAGGAUCGAAACAUUUUAAUCGAAAAAUUGUCAAUGUUUGAACCGCUGUGACUUCGUUAAAACAUAUCGAAGAGGGAUGAAAGCACCUUCGCAUUUUUGCCUCGCUAACAUUGACAAUUUACCGAUCAAGGCUUUUUGACCCUUAAUCUCGCUCACGAACAUAGAAAUAAAAAUUACAUAAUUUAUCUUACUUGCAGUGAUGUAGGCAUCACUGGUCUGAUAUUAUACAAGGUCACUGAAGUAAAUAACAAGAAAGUUGAUCUAUUGAUUAAUAAUAUGCAGUCAAAUGAGUGCAACAUGAUUUUGAAAAUUUUAACUUCUCCCGGAGUAACAGAUAUUCAAGCGUGGCCUUUUAACUUCUUCAAAAUUAGUUUACUUAACAAUGUACUUUUGUGUGCAUGUUUGAGAAAUAUAUGUAUUAACAACUUC